rnacentral:misc_RNA from 1 species
AACCAUAGAAACCUGCGGAGUACCUGCGGAAGGAUCAUUACCGAGUUGAUUCGGGGCUCCGUCCCCGAUCCUCCCACCCUUUGUAUACCUACCUCUGUUGCUUUGGCGGGCCGCGGUCUUUCCGCGGCCGCCCCCCGAUUUUGGGGGGUGGCUAGUGCCCGCCAGAGGACUAUCAAACUCCAGUCAGUAAACGUUGCAGUCUGAAAAAAAUAUUAAAUAAACUAAAACUUUCAACAACGG